rnacentral:rRNA from 1 species
ACUCUUUCCCUACACGACGCUCUUCCGAUCUGCGGAAUGCUUUACACAUGCAAGUCGAACGGCAGCAUAGAGAGCUUGCUCUCUGAUGGCGAGUGGCGAACGGGUGAGUAAUAUAUCGGAACGUGCCUAGUAAUGGGGAAUAACUAGCUGAAAGGUUAGCUAAUGCCGCAUACGACCUACGGGUGAAAGCAGGGGAUCUUCGGACCUUGCGUUAUUAGAGCGGCCGAUAUCUGAUUAGCUUGUUGGUGGGGUAAUGGCCUACCAAGGCGACGAUCAGUAGCUGGUCUGAGAGGACGAUCAGCCACACUGGAACUGAGACACGGUCCAGACUCCUACGGGAGGCAGCAGUGGGGAAUAUUGCACAAUGGGCGAAAGCCUGAUGCAGCCAUGCCGCGUGUGUGAAGAAGGCCUUCGGGUUGUAAAGCACUUUCAGUUGUGAGGAAAGGUUAGUCGUUAAUAGCGGCUAGCUUUGACGUUAGCAACAGAAGAAGCACCGGCUAACUCCGUGCCAGCAGCCGCGGUAAUACGGAGGGUGCGAGCGUUAAUCGGAAUUACUGGGCGUAAAGCGCAUGCAGGUGGUUCAUUAAGUCAGAUGUGAAAGCCCGGGGCUCAACCUCGGAACUGCAUUUGAAACUGGUGAACUAGAGUGCUGUAGAGGGGGGUAGAAUUUCAGGUGUAGCGGUGAAAUGCGUAGAGAUCUGAAGGAAUACCAGUGGCGAAGGCGGCCCCCUGGACAGACACUGACACUCAGAUGCGAAAGCGUGGGGAGCAAACAGGAUUAGAUACCCUGGUAGUCCACGCCGUAAACG